AAAUUUUGUGCCACGUUUUUUGAACUUUUUUUUAGGUAACGUCAGGCGAACGUUUUUUUGUGGCGUUUCUGUUUAGAAACAUUACUAAACUUAGAUUAUUUUUGAAAAAAAGAAUAGUUAAACUUGAUUAAUAUAUAACAUUUAUGUGUGGUUGGUAAUUUUUGUAUUGCUUUUAUUUGUAUUAAAAACUUGGUUGUUGUUCUCACAUUAAAUUAUUGUCAAAGAAAUGCUCAGAUAGUUUGCAAACCUACCCAGAUAGUUUUUUACAUAUAUUUUUUAUCUAUCUACCAAAUUUCAUUGAAAAAUAAUAUUGAGCAGAUAGUCUAUAAAAGUGAGCAGUUUUGGUACCUCAUUUCUGUUUUUCUGAUUUCCGUAAGUGGGUGGUAAGAGGGGUACAAACAAGUUGAAUUUUAUUUGUGUGACUUGUUUAUAGUUUCUAAAAUUUUAUUGGUUUCAUUGAAAUUGAAAACAUAAGCGUUGAUUACUAUAAUUCUAGCUAUAGGUUGUGGGUAACCAUUACCACCCUAUUUAACAAACUUCUCAACUUAACCAAAAUUUACGAAUAGCAGCGGAAAGACUUUUUUUUCAAAAGUAGGCUCGAUUGUGGUCUUUAUCUUUAGCUUGUAGGUUAUACUUGGUGCAAAAAGCCUAAUUAAGAUACAUGGUCGACUACAAUCCUGAUAAAGGGAAAAGAAAUGCUAAAGGAAAGAAAAAAGGAGCACUCAUUUGCCCACGCAUCGUCACGUUAAUUCGAGAAUUAAAAAGUUUUGGUUUGAACUCUGUUUGAAUAAAAGUUUUUAGAAUUAGUAGUUAUAAAAAAAAUAGUUAAUAAUCAAGAGAGGUCUGGUUUCGUAACAAAGAUUUACCAAAUUCAUCAACGUAAUAUUUCUGCUUUACAUCUGACUACAAUGAUUAUUUUGAAGUAUUGGCAUUUAGCACCAACAAUGGCAAAAAAUUGGCCUUACGUAAAUCAUUCAUUUAGAGAAACAACUUUAAGGUUUUUUAUAGAUUAUUGCUUUGCUAAAUAAUAAAAUCUUACCCAAACACUUAUAUUAUUGUUUAUAUAUUUAUAUAUUAUAGUAUAUUUAUUUUUAUUUUAAAUUUCUAGUUGACUGGAUAUGAAAAA
rnacentral:lncRNA from 1 species